rnacentral:rRNA from 1 species
AGAUUGAACGCUGGCGGCAUGCCUUACACAUGCAAGUCGAACGGCAGCACGGACUUCGGUCUGGUGGCGAGUGGCGAACGGGUGAGUAAUAUAUCGGAACGUACCCUGGAGUGGGGGAUAACGCAGCGAAAGUUGCGCUAAUACCGCAUACGAUCUACGGAUGAAAGUGGGGGCUCGCAAGACCUCAUGCUCGUGGAGCGGCCGAUAUCUGAUUAGCUAGUUGGUAGGGUAAAAGCCUACCAAGGCAUCGAUCAGUAGCUGGUCUGAGAGGACGACCAGCCACACUGGGACUGAGACACGGCCCAGACUCCUACGGGAGGCAGCAGUGGGAAUUUUGGACAAUGGGGGCAACCCGUGAUCCAGCAAUGCCGCGUGAGUGAAGAAGGCCUUGGUUGUAAGCUCUUUGUCAGGAAGAAACGGUGAAGGCUAAUAUCCUUUGCUAAUGACGGUACCUAGAAGAAUAAGACACCGACUAACUACGUGCCAGACCG